ACUCAACUGUGAAAGGCUUAAACAGUUGCCUAAGCACAUUAAAAAGUUGGUCAAUCUCCAGACCCUUGAACUUCACGGUUGUGUUAGUUUGACUCAUAUGCCACGUGGGAUUGGUGAAUUAACUUCCCUUGAGAAUUUAUCAGCAUUCAUGGUGGCAAAAGAUAACUGUGUCACCAAACAUAGUGGUCGACUUGGCGAAUUACGUGACUUGAACAAUCUG
rnacentral:misc_RNA from 1 species